rnacentral:lncRNA from 1 species
AAUUCAUCUUGAAGCCCAGAAACUCAGCAAGAAGCCAGCAGCAAAAAAAUAUGAAGGAAAAAACUUUUAAGAAACAGAGAACUUCUAUGACGUCGCAGUUGGACAGGGGCUCUGUGCCCCACUAGGACCAAGUAUGCACCACCCCACCAGUUAAAAAGGGAAGAAAACUGUUUGGAAGAGAACUCAGUUCCAUUUGUCAGGAUGGCAUCCUGCCUGGAGCAAUUCUGAUAUGAAGGAAAAAACUUUUAAGAAACAGAGAACUUCUAUGACGUCGCAGUUGGACAGGGGCUCUGUGCCCCACUAGGACCAAGUAUGCACCACCCCACCAGUUAAAAAGGGAAGAAAACUGUUUGGAAGAGAACUCAGUUCCAUUUGUCAGGAUGGCAUCCUGCCUGGAGCAAUUCUGGACAUGCUGUACCUACUAAAAAAGAAAGGGCCCACAACCACGGGUGUCUUUUUAGAACCUCCGAGUAUAACUUUGUGCCAAACAGUAAAGGACAAAUUGGAUUCGGAAGAGGAGGUGUGUAUAAACAAGCAAUCAGUUAAUGUAGUGGCGUGGAUCUUUAAG